CGGCUCAUGACGGUACCUGAAGAAUAAGCACCGGCUAACUACGUGCCAGCAGCCGCGGUAAUACGUAGGGUGCAAGCGUUAAUCGGAAUUACUGGGCGUAAAGCGUGCGCAGGCGGUUUUGUAAGUCUGUUGUGAAAUCCCCGGGCUCAACCUGGGAAUGGCAAUGGAGACUGCAAGGCUAGAGUUUGGCAGAGGGGGGUAGAAUUCCACGUGUAGCAGUGAAAUGCGUAGAUAUGUGGAGGAACACCGAUGGCGAAGGCAGCCCCCUGGGUCAAAACUGACGCUCAUGCACGAAAGCGUGGGGAGCAAACAGGAUUAGAUACCCUGGUAGUCCACGCCCUAAACGAUGUCUACUAGUUGUCGGGUCUUAAUUGACUUGGUAACGCAGCUAACGCGUGAAGUAGACCGCCUGGGGAGUACGGUCGCAAGAUUAAAACUCAAAGGAAUUGACGGGGACCCGCACAAGCGGUGGAUGAUGUGGAUUAAUUCGAUGCAACGCGAAAAACCUUACCUACCCUUGACAUG
rnacentral:rRNA from 1 species